UGCACUCACUACUGUAAGUUCCUCUGGAUAAGAGCGUCUGCUAAAUGACUAAAA
rfam:Salmo salar isolate Sally breed double haploid chromosome ssa06, whole genome shotgun sequence.